GAUGAACGCUGGCGGCGUGCCUAAUACAUGCAAGUCGAGCGAACAGACGAGGAGCUUGCUCCUCUGACGUUAGCGGCGGACGGGUGUGUAACACGUGUAUAACCUACCUAUAAUACUGGGAUAACUUCGGAAAACCGGAGCUAAUCCCGGAUAAUAUAUUGAACCGCAUGGUUCAAUAGUGAAAGACGGUUUUGCUGUCACUUAUAGAUGGAUCCGCGCCGUAUUAGCUAGUUGUUAAGUUAACGGCUUACCACGGGAACGAUGCGUAGCCGACCGGAGAGAGUGAUCGGCGGCACUGGAACGGAGACGCGGUCCAGACUACUACGGGAGGCAGCAGUAGGGAAUCUUCCGCAAAGGGCGAAAGCAUGACGGAGCAGCGCGGCGUGAGUGAUGAAGGUCUUCGGAUCGUAAAACUCGGUUAUUAGUGAAGAACAAAUGUGGAAGUAACUAUGCACGUCUUGACGGUACCUAAUCAGAAAGCCACGGCUAACUACGUG
rnacentral:rRNA from 1 species